UAAUCGAUGGGGGGACGCAGUAGGAUAGGCGAAGCGUGCGAUUGGAUUGCACGUCUAAGCAGUAAGGCUGAGUAUUAGGCAAAUCCGGUACUCGUUAAGGCUGAGCUGUGAUGGGGAGAAGACAUUGAGUCUUCGAGUCGUUGAUUUCACACUGCCGAGAAAAGCCUCUAGAUAGAAAAUAGGUGCCCGUACCGCAAACCGACACAGGUAGUCAAGAUGAGAAUUCUAAGGUGAGCGAGCGAACUCUCGUUAAGGAACUCGGCAAAAUGACCCCGUAACUUCGGGAGAAGGGGUGCUCUUUAGGGUUAACGCCCAGAAGAGCCGCAGUGAAUAGGCCCAAGCGACUGUUUAU
rnacentral:rRNA from 1 species